AACUAUUCAUCGCAGUAGUAAACAGAGACAGUAAGCAACACACAUAACUAAUCCUAAUAUAUUACGUUUCAUACGGUUAUGUUCAUUUUGGUCCUGAACAAAUCCCGAAUUCAUGAGAGUUUUAGAGAAUUUAGUCAUCUCAUUCUCAUAAAAGUGACCCACUUCUACUCUCACAUAUGUGACCACUGAUUAAGAAUACUCUGCAAUAUUCCUCUUAUUAAUUUAUAAGAUAUCAUUGUCAUUAAGUAUAAAUAUACAACCUAAAACUUUUGCAGACAACAUACUUCUUCCAUCAUGGUUAUGAGUUAUGUAGUAUAUAUGUUAACUUCUUUGAAUCAUGUCCAACCAAUUUGCCUAUUGAACUUAGACCAUGGGAUCUCCAAUCAACUUACUCCCCUCGAUGAUCAUUAGUUAUGUUGGCUUUAACCUUAUUCCCCUCGAUGAUCAACUUACUCUUUAGUUAAACCUUUAAUAAUUGGUUCCACUUAGGUUGACCAUCUUUAAUGGUGUACACAAUCAUCUUAUGAAAUUAUAUUUCAUAUGAGAGUAGUUGAUUUACAAUGUCAAGUCCUCAACCGUACAUGUUGGGACUUUAGUUAGUAAUUUGCUAACACUUGGGCAUAGUCCCCCACAUUUAAGGUAUUUGUAAGAAGGUCUCUAACUCUUCAUACCUUAAAGUUACUCAUUAUAAGAGAUAACUGCUUUUUAUUCUCUCUCUUUUAAUAAACAAAUUACUCUUUACAAUUUCGACAUCGUGUUUAGCCUUUACUCGGCUAAAUUAUCACAAAGUACAUUUCUCUAGCCUUGUAUAUCCACCUAUAUGUACUUUGACUUUAAAUUAUCAAAAUUCGAAUUAGCCAGCAUCAUUGAAUUCAUAACAUGUCCAUUCAUAUUCCUUGCUUAAUAAGCAUCAUCAUGUCUAAUUUAAUUGUGUAUGCUUACUCAAUAAGCAUCAAUUUUAGUGCCUCAUCAUUCCUUUUAUGAAGACCCCCAUACUUUCAGUGUAUAAUUCUUUGCAAAGGAAUUGGCUUUGGUUUUAUCCAUGACUAACAUGGCUUAUGAGCAAAACUCAUUUUUGUAGUUGUCUUCACAUGUUACUCCUUUAUCAGGAGGUGCUCAUUAUUCUCUAUAUGUGCUAAUUCAAUCAAUGAGUUUGCAGAUCGUACAGCCUAUAUCCGUAGAUACCCAGCCACAACUAAAGAUUGCAUUAUGAUCUUGUAGCUAAUUGGGAAACAAAAAACUCAAACAUUCAUGUUUCCGUAUCACUAUGGCUUUGAAGCCCUCACACAUCUGCAGUAUACAACCCACAAGUUCUAUGCCAUAUGUAUACUGACAUAAGAAAAACCUUCUCUUUCGCAAAGAAAGAGGCGUCACGACCGCUAACAGAGAUUUACUUCCUCAAUUUUAAAUGCAACUCAUUUUUUGUGCAACUCUGCAGAACCAAACUCAUAAACACAUAAGAUUGAUUCUGCCCAACUACAUUAUGCUCAUUGCCAAAGUAGUUAAAUCAUUCUUACGUAUACGACUUAAUUAAGGGUUGCAAUCCUUACCAAUACUCAACAAGAAGAUACAAAAACUUUAAUCACAGAAAAAUAUGCCCAGUUAAUGAGAUGCAUCAUACUCAUAUGAAUAAAUCAAUCCCUAAAUAUAUAUAUAUAUAUAUCACACACACAUUGGCCGAAUGGGAAUGAAUUUCCACUCAACCAUUAUAUUUCAUUUAUACGCCUAUGACUUGUGAUAAGGAACUUCCAGUGCAUUUAGGAUAUAAAUAUUUAUUAUUGAUCUUUGAAAUUAAGAACUUUAUCCACAAGUCAUGCAAUUCAUGCUUUCAAGAUAACUUGCAGACACAUAUAGACGUAAGCAUGCAUAUACAUACCAGAUCCAAAUUACCUAAGCAAACUGCUCACAUCUUUUCAUCAAGUGAUGCAUUGUCCAGAAAGUUAUAAUUUUAAAUUGUUUUUUGUUUUCAAAAAGAAACAAGCGGUUGAUUGACACCGCUCCACAUGGAUAAUACCACAACAUCAUCCAACCCAAUCAUCAAGACUAAAUCAAAGAUUGAAGUCUUAAUUGCAUCAAUUCUAGGCUUCACAUCAAAUACAACACUACAUGUUGUCCAAGACUUUUAAAGCCACAGCUUUAAACUCUCAAUAUGAGAAUCGUGAACAUUCAUAUUUCUGAUUGUUCCAUAGAGAUAAAAAUUAUGUCUUUAGAAGGUUGAAGCAAUAUUAGAAAAUAUGAAAAUAACACAAGAAUUCCAAUGAUAAUAAUCAUAUAGAAAAUAACAACAUCAAUAGUAUACAAAAUUAAUAUAAACAACUAGAGAUAAAGUUAGAAAAACUGACAAACUUGGAGAUUAAGGUUUGCAUAAAUGCAAUGUCCUAAAACAGAAUUUCGCCCCUACUCUUGUGCUUGUAGUUCGGUAGGUGUCCAUCUCCCAGGAUUCAACAAUCUAUAAUCCGAAAUCAAAGCACUUCAAUCUUCGGACUCUGGUGAACUUUAUAUGUUCCAUACUCUCAAGACACGAAUUUGACACACGACACAUUUGAGAAACAAAGUGGGGAAACCCUAUUUCUCAAGAGUAAAAAUUAAUUCUAAUUUUCUAUAUUAAUGAUGAUGGUUUCAUGAGUUUAUAUAGCACCCAAGUAAUUUUUGUUAAAGAGAUGUAAGUUUUCAUCUAUAACUAUACAUCAUUUGACAUGGGAAUGCACCUAAAUAACAUAAUUUUUCUAAGAAAUAUGGUUAACACUAUUUUUCAUUCAAUUAUUAAAAUGAUAUAUUACAAUAUUUUAUAUUAUAAUAUAUAAUUUCCAACAAUCCCCCACAUGAAUGAAAAAUCAGGAAGAAUUUGAGAGUACAGGAGGACAAGAGAUGCAUUGGGAGAGGUGUCUUUUGGACUUGAACCUAACCUAGUGAAUACUUAUCAGGUUUGGCCAUGGUUUGGCUAUUUAGCCUUCUUUAAAAAGGGUUGUUUUCCUCAUCGGGAGAGGUGUCUUAUGCAAGAAGAAAAAAGCUCUUCUAUCACGAUGAAUGCUUGUGAUAAAUUGCAAU
rnacentral:lncRNA from 1 species